AUAGGGGAGCCGCAGGGAAACCGAGUCUUAACCGGGCGUUAAGUUGCAGGGUAUAGACCCGAAACCCGGUGAUCUAGCCAUGGGCAGGUUGAAGGUUGGGUAACACUAACUGGAGGACCGAACCGACUAAUGUUGAAAAAUUAGCGGAUGACCUGUGGCUGGGGGUGAAAGGCCAAUCAAACCGGGAGAUAGCUGGUUCUCCCCGAAAGCUAUUUAGGUAGCGCCUCGUGAACUCAUCUUCGGGGGUAGAGCACUGUUUCGGCUAGGGGGUCAUCCCGACUUACCAACCCGAUGCAAACUGCGAAUACCGGAGAAUGUUAUCACGGGAGACACACGGCGGGUGCUAACGUCCGUCGUGAAGAGGGAAACAACCCAGACCGCCAGCUAAGGUCCCAAAGUCAUGGUUAAGUGGGAAACGAUGUGGGAAGGCCCAGACAGCCAGGAUGUUGGCUUAGAAGCAGCCAUCAUUUAAAGAAAGCGUAAUAGCUCACUGGUCGAGUCGGCCUGCGCGGAAGAUGUAACGGGGCUAAACCAUGCACCGAAGCUGCGGCAGCGACGCUUAUGCGUUGUUGGGUAGGGGAGCGUUCUGUAAGCCGUUGAAGGUGGCCUGUGAGGGUUGCUGGAGGUAUCAGAAGUGCGAAUGCUGACAUAAGUAACGAUAAAGCGGGUGAAAAGCCCGCUCGCCGGAAGACCAAGGGUUCCUGUCCAACGUUAAUCGGGGCAGGGUGAGUCGACCCCUAAGGCGAGGCCGAAAGGCGUAGUCGAUGGGAAACAGGUUAAUAUUCCUGUACUCGGUGUUACUGCGAAGGGGGGACGGAGAAGGCUAUGUUGGCCGGGCGACGGUUGUCCCGGUUUAAGCAUGUAGGCGGGUGUUCCAGGUAAAUCCGGAACGCUGUUAACGCUGAGGUGUGAUGACGAGGCACUACGGUGCUGAAGCAACAAAUGCCCUGCUUCCAGGAAAAGCCUCUAAGCAUCAGGUAACAUCAAAUCGUACCCCAAACCGACACAGGUGGUCAGGUAGAGAAUACCAAGGCGCUUGAGAGAACUCGGGUGAAGGAACUAGGCAAAAUGGUGCCGUAACUUCGGGAGAAGGCACGCUGAUGGUAGGUGAAGUGAUUUACUCAUGGAGCUGAAAUCAGUCGAAGAUACCAGCUGGCUGCAACUGUUUAUUAAAAACACAGCACUGUGCAA
rnacentral:rRNA from 1 species